rnacentral:rRNA from 1 species
GUUGAACGCUGGCGGCAGGCCUAACACAUGCAAGUCGAGCGGAUGAAGAGAGCUUGCUCUCUGAUUCAGCGGCGGACGGGUGAGUAAUGCCUAGGAAUCUGCCUGGUAGUGGGGGACAACGUUUCGAAAGGAACGCUAAUACCGCAUACGUCCUACGGGAGAAAGUGGGGGAUCUUCGGACCUCACGCUAUCAGAUGAGCCUAGGUACGAUUAGCUAGUUGGUGAGGUAAAGGCUCACCAAGGCGACGAUCGUUAACUGGUCUGAGAGGAUGAUCAGUCACACUGGAAGUGAGACACGGUCCAGACUCCUACGGGAGGCAGCAGUGGGGAAUAUUGGACAAUGGGCGAAAGCCUGAUCCAGCCAUGCCGCGUGUGUGCAGAAGGUCUUCGGAUUGUAAAGCACUUUAAGUUGGGAGGAAGGGCAGUAAGUUAAUACCUUGCUGUUUUGACGUUACCGACAGAAUAAGCACCGGCUAACUUCGUGCCAGCAGCCGCAGUAAUAC